rnacentral:rRNA from 1 species
CGUUGGUGACCAGCGGAGGGACAUUACCGAGUUUACAACUCCCAAACCCCUGUGAACAUACCACUUGUUGCCUCGGCGGAUCAGCCCGCUCCCGGUAAAACGGGACGGCCCGCCAGAGGACCCCUAAACUCUGUUUCUAUAUGUAACUUCUGAGUAAAACCAUAAAUAAAUCAAAACUUUCAACAACGGAUCUCUUGGUUCUGGCAUCGAUGAAGAACGCAGCAAAAUGCGAUAAGUAAUGUGAAUUGCAGAAUUCAGUGAAUCAUCGAAUCUUUGAACGCACAUUGCGCCCGCCAGUAUUCUGGCGGGCAUGCCUGUUCGAGCGUCAUUUCAACCCUCAAGCACAGCUUGGUGUUGGGACUCGCGUUAAUUCGCGUUCCUCAAAUUGAUUGGCGGUCACGUCGAGCUUCCAUAGCGUAGUAGUAAAACCCUCGUUACUGGUAAUCGUCGCGGCCACGCCGUUAAACCCCAACUUCUGAAUGUUGACCUCGGAUCAGGUAGGAAUACCCGCUGAACUUAAGCAUAUCAAUAAGCGGAGGAAAAGAAACCAACAGGGAUUGCCCUAGUAACGGCGAGUGAAGCGGCAACAGCUCAAAUUUGAAAUCUGGCUCUCGGGCCCGAGUUGUAAUUUGUAGAGGAUACUUUUGAUGCGGUGCCUUCCGAGUUCCCUGGAACGGGACGCCAUAGAGGGUGAGAGCCCCGUCUGGUUGGAUGCCAAAUCUCUGUAAAGUUCCUUCAACGAGUCGAGUAGUUUGGGAAUGCUGCUCUAAAUGGGAGGUAUAUGUCUUCUAAAGCUAAAUACCGGCCAGAGACCGAUAGCGCACAAGUAGAGUGAUCGAAAGAUGAAAAGCACUUUGAAAAGAGAGUUAAAAAGUACGUGAAAUUGUUGAAAGGGAAGCGUUUAUGACCAGACUUGGGCUUGGUUAAUCAUCUGGGGUUCUCCCCAGUGCACUUUUCCAGUCCAGGCCAGCAUCAGUUUUCCCCGGGGGAUAAAGGCGGCGGGAAUGUGGCUCUCUUCGGGGAGUGUUAUAGCCCGUCGUGUAAUACCCUGGGGGGGACUGAGGUUCGCGCAUCUGCAAGG